rnacentral:rRNA from 1 species
UACGGGGGGAGCAAGCGUUGUUCGGAUUUACUGGGCGUAAAGGGCGCGUGGGCGGUCAGCACAAGUCAGUUGUGAAAUCUCCGAGCUUAACUCGGAAAGGUCAACUGAUACUGUGCGACUAGAGUGCGGAAGGGGCAACUGGAAUUCUUGGUGUAGCGGUGAAAUGCGUAGAUAUCAAGAGGAACACCUGCGGCGAAGGCGGGUUGCUGGGCCGACACUGACGCUGAAGCGCGAAAGCCAGGGGAGCGAACGGG